GGUUCACAGCAGGGUGAGGGGAUCACUGAGAGUACACGGCAAGGCACAUUGGCCUGUUCGAAUUUGUGUAAAGAACGAGAAAUUGCUGAAGGCUGGAGAGGAACAGAGCAGCAGAAAGGAAGAAACAAACAACAAGCACGAAACAGAGAGCUGAAAGUGCCAAUUGGCUGUUGCUGUGAUACAAGUGCAUUGGUGGCUGGAGAUACCUUCCCAGAGGAGCAAUUCGGCUUCACAGUCAUUACGGUGCAUUUCGAUGUAAGCAUUGUGAAGACUGAAAUCUGACCAGACACUGCAGCAGGACUGAUCUGGUGAAAGGCAACUGGUCUGAAUUCAGGCAUUUAUUCCUGCCAUCAGGCUCAUCGGGGCUGAAUUCUUCCGUUGCCAUGUUUGGAGGAAAGCUAAGCAGCCAACCACAAUGGAUAGGGCAAAGAAGAAUUGUGAAGAAGAGCUGAAGGUUCCAUCGGUGAGGAUAAAGUUCAGGGCCAUCACACAUGGUGUAGGGAUAUAAAAGAAGGUACUAACAGUGAUUCCCCCAAGUGACAGUGACCCCCUCAUAAUUUGUC